rnacentral:lncRNA from 1 species
AGCACGUCUGCGCAGCUUUCCUUGCGGCGCCCCUCCGCGUGGUCUAUGAUGGUGCAUUUUGGUCCAGUCAGGCCCGGUGUGGUCGGCCUCAUUUUGGAUUACUUCGGUGGGCUUCUCCUCGGCGUGGUUACGGUCUAGUACACCUUAGUGUGCUUUUCUCUGCAUGGUCCUUCCCAGCGUGGCUCGUCUCAGCAGCGUGGUUUUCAUCCGUGUGAUCGUCCUCUGCAUGGUUUUUCACGGUGAGGUCAUAUCAGCCAGCCACCAGCCUCAGCAUAUUUGUCCACAGUUCUUUUGGAGCUGCCUCUGCUCGGAUCACUUGAGCACUACACCUCAGUCCCGACUAGCCAUCCUCAGUGUGCUUUGCUCAACGCGAUCCUCCUCAGUGUUUGUCCUGAGCCUAGACCUCCAUGGUGAGGUCUUAUCUUGUUUCGUCAUGGUGGUCGGCGAUAUGGUCCGAUCUGCCUCAGCAAUUGGGUCACUUCCGUGUGGAUCGUUUCAGCACGGAUCACUCCAGCGCGGUCGGCUGCCUUGGCGCGAUCCACUUGGCUUCUCAGCAUUUUUUUUUAGCCUGCUGGGUUCUCUCAGUUUUUCUUCAACACGCUUCUUUUCCCUCUGUGUGAUUCUACUUGGAGAGCUUUUCUGUUCAGCUUGGUUCCCAGCGCUUCUUUUUCUCGGCAUGGUUCUCCUAGUGAUGCAUUUACUUUAUGGAAUGGGUUUCCCACAACUACUACAGCAGUCUUUUACAUUUAUUUCCAAUAUAAACAUACAAAUGUGGGCAUACAUCUGUAUGUGUAUAUAAAUUUUAACACAUUUAGCAUUUAUGUGUAAUGCAAAGGAUGUUUAGAAGUCAUACAAUGGAAAUACAAGAACACUAUAUAUAGUCUUUUAAAAAUCUGAAAUAGAACAUAAAACUAAAAAAAAAGUUAAGAAAACUUCAAAAUCUCUAGGACUUUAGAUUUGAAAGAGAAUUGAGAUGCAACACCGAAAACUUAAUCCAAGUGGGGGAGGGGACUCAAUUUUAUUAUAAUUAGAAACAAAUGAGUUAUUCCUGCAACAAGUGCAUUUUUCUAAGUAGCAACAGAAGCAAGGAGGAACAGGCUCACUGACUGUUAAAAUGCUGUGCUUUGUGAAGGCAAUGAGACAAGUCACAGAUUUACUGCAUAUCACUUAAUGGAAUCAAGGGCCUUGUACCCAGAGUAUAUAAAGAAGAAUGAUCAUAAUUUGACAACAGUGAAGCAAACAACCCAUCUUAAAAAGUGGAUUACAAAUAAGCAUGGGAAAUUGUGCUCAGCCACAGUCUAUGGUCUUUAUGGAAAUACAAUAUUAAAGCUUCAGUGAGAUAACCCUGAAAAUUAUCAUGAAGAUGGAUAAAGCAUUAAAUUAAAACCUUGUAACAGCCAGCACUUCAAGGAGGCAGAAUGACUGCAACCCUCAUGUGCCCGAGGUGGGAAUGCAAAGUGGCCCAACUGCUCUGAAGAACAAACUUCAUAGCCUUAUAAACACACAUAUGAUUUAUGACUCAGUGUAUGGGAUAUUUAAGUUCACAUAAAUCUGCACACAAAAAUAUACAGCAAUUUUACCUCUAGUUGCACCAAACAAGUUAUAACCAAGAUGGCAACAGUGAAAUGAAUAAAGAAAUCGUGGUGUGUCUAUCUGUCCCACCUAUGCAGUGGAAUAAUGUCCAGCAAUCAACUAGAAUAUUGGAGGAUCCUGGGACAGAUAAUAGACUAUGAUAAUUUUGUUUCACACAGGGGUACUGUAUAUCAAGGAUUAUACAAACCAGUAUCUAUACUAGAAAAUGGGAGCUGAGGACAAAGUAAGGAUAAUCAGAAACAGUAUAAACUCGAGGAAAAUGGGAGGUCUGGAAUGGCGAAUGUAGCCUCAGGCGUGGCAACUGCCCCAGCUGGGACUACCCACUGCCAAGUUUCACCCUCUCUCAAGAGAACCAAAACCAGACUGUACGCAGCAUCUUCCUUCUCAGCCAAAGGGCCUACUCGUUAGGGUGAUUUGCAUUGUACUUAAGCAUUGAAAAAAAAAAAAGACUGGAAGGAAAUAGAUCAAAAUGUGGUAUGUUUGCCUGUGGAUUAAAGGACUUCAAAU